AGCCGCCAUGAGGUCUCCCAUCAGCUCCUCUGCUCUGCACUGAGCUCACUAAGAGACCACAGCCACUCCUCAUAUGUCCUGCCUUUCAGACUCUUGACCAUCAUCACAGUUCUCCUUUGGAAGCUCUCUAAUAGUUUUAUGUCCAUUUCAUACUUUGGUGGCCAGAACUGCAUCCAAUACCGUGGGCCAUAUCCAGUCAGUUUGGGAAGGUGCCCAACAGUGGGCCUUCUGGGUCCUCCUUCCAUUUGCUGAGCACCUACCAAGAGAAAAAGAAGGAAUCUUCCAGUUUCCUGUGCAUCUUCUGCUUUUGGUGUACCGCCAAGCACAUCUGAUUCUGUUACCAGUGUCCAUCCCUUCAAAGAACUAAAGAUAAUCAGAAGAGCUGUCUUUCAUCUUUCUGUUCACAAGACGAACAAAAGCACUGCUAGCUGCCUCUCCCACUACAUGCCAUUCACCUGGCCUCUCCUCACCUCCAUGGUCUCUGCUGAAUUUGCUCCAUGGGGUCAGCAUUAGUUUUGAGCUUGACCAGGGAACACAAACUGAAUUGACCAUUUGCCUGGCCUAAACUCCAGGAGGUUCCCAGCAGCCCAUUCCUUCAGCCUUUUGAAGAUCCCUUGAGGAGCAGCUCCUUCCUGUAUAUCCACCACUCACCCCAGCCAGGAAGCAUUAGCAGACUUGCUGAAAACGCACUGUCCCAACAUUCUGCUCAUCAGGAAGGACACUAGGCAGUCUCAGCCUUAAUGGUUACUUCAGAGGAAAUCACUAGCUACUAAUUAACAUGGGCUAAAAUUUGUGUCACUGAUUAAAGCACUUUGAGCUUCACAAUGCUGUCCAUUUUCCACAAAUCUCCUAAUCCAUGCAUCCAGUAUCUUUCCCAUAGCCCUACCCACUUGUUAGAUUUUACCGUACCUAAAAGAUCUAAAAUACAGUGUUUGUGGACAGCACUGACCAGUGUGUAUCUGAACUCAGAAUGCAAGAAGUCCCCUCUUGCCUCUUCCUUCAAAUGGGCACUUAAGUAUUAGGUUCCUGAAUGAGCAAUGAAUAAUAAGAAAAAAUAAUAAUUGUUUUAUUUUUUGCUGAGAUUACUGAUUACUUCAAUACAUACCAAAUUUGAGCAGUGCUUAACAAAGAGGUCUGAUUUGGAAUGAAAUCUGUGAUUGGAGCUCAGAUAUUUCUAGACAGCACAGCUUGCUGAUAAUUUUUGGCUUUCUGAAAACUGACGCUUUGUAAACUUCCUUUUGUGUCACCUAAUCUCUCAGAGUGCAAGCAGGCUAGUCUGGCUGAUCACAGCUCAACAACUCAAAUCCACCCUGGCCACCUGAUAAGGCUCUCUCGUUUUCAUACCCUGCCUUGUCAAGGUUCCCUUGCCUCAUCCUGUCAUUUUAAAAAAUAAAGUAGUGCUUAUUUUUUAGAAUAUUGGGCAACUUGGAAAGAAGUGUCCUCUUUGUAGAAGAUGAUGCUUUUAUGUUACACGUUUUUGCUUUCACAUAUAUUUACAUUUUAAAAAUUAAAUAAACUACUUAUCUCC
ensembl:lncRNA